GAUGAAGAACGUAGCGAAAUGCGAUAAGUAAUGCGAAUUGCAGAAUUUCCGUGAGUCAUCGAAUCUUUGAACGCACAUUGCGCCCAUUGGCAUUCCGAUGGGCAUGCCUGUUCGAGCGUCAUUUCAACCAUCAAGCCCCCGGCUUGUGUUGGGGACCUGCGGCUGCCGCAGGCCCUGAAAACCAGUGGCGGGCUCGCUAGUCACUCCGAGCGUAGUAAUACAUCUCGCUCAGGGCGUGCUGCGGGUUCCGGCCGUUAAAAAGCCUUAUUUACCCAAGGUUGACCUCGGAUCAGGUAGGAAGACCCGCUGAACUUAAGCAUAUCAAUAAGCGGAGGA
rnacentral:misc_RNA from 1 species